rnacentral:tRNA from 2 species
GCCCCGUUAGCUCAACUGGAUAGAGUACCGGUCUUCGGAACCGGUGGUAUGGGUUCAAAUCCCAUGCGGGGCA